GGGCCCGCACAAGCGGUGGAGUAUGUGGUUUAAUUCGAUGCAACGCGAAGAACCUUACCAGGGUUUGACAUCCUGCGAAUUUCUGGGAAACCGGAAAGUGCCUUCGGGAGCGCAGUGACAGGUGGUGCAUGGCUGUCGUCAGCUCGUGUCGUGAGAUGUUGGGUUAAGUCCCGCAACGAGCGCAACCCACGUCUUUAGUUGCCAGCAUUUAGUUGGGCACUCUAGAGAGACCGCCGGUGAUAAACCGGAGGAAGGUGUGGAUGACGUCAAGUCCUCAUGGCCCUUACGGGUAGGGCUACACACGUGCUACAAUGGCAGUGACAAUGGGAUAAUCCCCAAAAGCUGUCUCAGUUCGGAUUGUCGGCUGCAACUCGCCGGCAUG
rnacentral:rRNA from 1 species